rnacentral:rRNA from 1 species
CCACAUUGGGACUGAGACACGGCCCAGACUCCUACGGGAGGCAGCAGUGGGGAAUAUUGCACAAUGGGCGAAAGCCUGAUGCAGCAACGCCGCGUGAGGGAAGACGGUUUUCGGAUUGUAAACCUCUGUUUUCGGUGACGAAUAAAUGACGGUAACCGAGUAGGAAGCCACGGCUAACUACGUGCCAGCAGCCGCGGUAAUACGUAGGUGGCAAGCGUUAUCCGGAAUUACUGGGUGUAAAGGGAGCGCAGGCGGGAUAGCAAGUCAGUUGUGAAAACUAUGGGCUCAACCCAUAGAUUGCAGUUGAAACUGUUAUUCUUGAGUGGAGUAGAGGCAAGCGGAAUUCCGAGUGUAGCGGUGAAAUGCGUAGAUAUUCGGAGGAACACCAGUGGCGAAGGCGGCUUGCUGGGCUCUAACUGACGCUGAGGCUCGAAAGUGUGGGGAGCAAACAGGAUUAGAUACCCUGGUAGUCCACACUGUAAACGAUGAUAGCGAGGUGUGGGGGGUCUGACCCCCUCCGUGCCGG